rnacentral:tRNA from 2 species
GGGUGAUUAGCUCAGUUGGUUAGAGCAUUACGUUGAACAUCGUAAAGGUCAGUGGUUCGAGUCCACUAUCACCCA